UUGGAGGGCAGUCUGGUGCCAGCAGCCGCGGUAAUUCCAGCUCCAAUAGCGUAUAUUAAAGUUGUUGCAGUUAAAAAGCUCGUAGUUGAACUUCGGGGUCUACCCAUUGGUCAGGCUUAAUUGUCUGUACUGGUGAGAUGGAUCUCUACCUUCUGAGGAACUUUCAUGCCAUUUAUUUGGUGUGAUGGGAAAUCAGGACUGUUACUUUGAAAAAAUUAGAGUGUUUAAAGCAGACUAUCGUCUGAAUACAUUAGCAUGGAAUAAUGAAAUAGGACGGACUGAUUCUAUUUCGUUGGUUUCUAGGAUCACCGUAAUGAUUAAUAGGGAUAGUUGGGGGCAUUAGUAUUCAAUUGUCAGAGGUGAAAUUCUUGGAUUUAUUGAAGACUAACUACUGCGAAAGCAUUUGCCAAGGAUGUUUUCAUUAAUCAAGAACGAAAGUUAGGGGAUCGAAGACGAUCAGAUACCGUCGUAGUCUUAACCAUAAACUAUGCCGACUAGGGAUCGGACGAAGUUAAUUUUAUAAUGACGCGUUCGGCGCCUUACGGGAAAC
rnacentral:rRNA from 1 species